UGGUUUCCAAAUAUAAAGAUCCGGGUGACCUAAUCCCAACACUCGACGGAUUUUAUAUCAAUUGUUGCUGCUAAAACCCUUCAUCAGAUCAUACGCAUCGGCUCCCCAUUGAAUUCACAGCAACAAGAGAGAAGAAAUUGCUGAUGCUAUUGAUGUUCAAGCUCCCUUCUUCCUUCUCCUGCUGCCGCCAUGGCCGCCUUCUCGGAGCUCUGCAACCACUUCGCCUCCUCUCCUCCUCCGCCGCCACCAGCCCAUCAUCCUUCCCUCUCCCCAAAGCCCAUCAUUUCAUCGUUGAUUAUCUCGUAGACAAAUUUGGGUUCUCUUCAGAAAAAGCAAUCAGAGCCUCCAAAUAUCUGUCCUCCCUCAAAUCCCUCGACAGGCCCCAAUCCUUCAUUGCCUUCAUGGAAGCCCACGGUUUCACCCAUGCCCACAUAAAAAAGACCGUAGCUUGGAACCCGAAAUGCCUUCUUCUCAACGUGGAGAAAAGCCUAGCUCCAAAGUUCAAGUCUUUGAGCGACAUUGGCUUCGCCGGUUCCGAUCUCACUGACCUCAUCAAUUCAAACCACAGAGUAAUAUGCCUCAAUUUCAACAGGAAAAUCCUCCCAAGUAUCCAGUUUUGGCAAGGCCUGCUAGGUUCUAGGGAUCAUCUCAUUAGGCUCUUGAGGAGAAAAAACAACGUUAUUUCGCAGAACAUCGAGAAGACUGUGAUGCCCAAUAUCUCCUUUCUUCGCAGCUGUGGCAUCUCUGAUGAGAAGAUCACAAUGGUGGCUCGCAGUAGCCCUAGCGUCUUCGCCCAGAGCCCACAAGCCUUGACCGCAGCUGCUGACCGAGUUGAGAAGGAAAUAGGUAUUGCUCGAGGCUCGGGGAUGUUUAUAUGGGCUCUCUGGGCUCUUAGCAAUGUAAGCAAAGCUAAGUUGAAAGCCAAUCGUGAGAUCAUGAAGAAGUUUGGGUGGUCAGAGGCUGAGUUCAUUUCCGCAUCCUCGAAAGCUCCGCUGUUCUUGUGCAUCUCCCAGAAAAUGCUGGCUACAAAGAUGGAGUUCUUGUUGAAGGGAGCUGAGUGUGAGCCUGGUUAUGUUGCCCGAUACCCUUUGCUGCUGAUGUUUAGCUUGGAGAAGAGACUGAUUCCACGUCAUAAAGUGAUGAAACUGUUGUUGUCGAGAGGAUUGCUUGAUAAAGAGCGCAAGUUGGCUACUGUCAUGACUUAUUCAGACACGGCGUUUAUGGACAAGUUCAUUGUCCCGCAUCAGUACGAGGUUCCAGAGCUUCAGGAGAUGUUUAUGCAUGGAUGUAGAAAUAGAGCUGCCUAGGAAGUUCCUCUGGGGAGGCUCUCAUGAAGCUAAUAGAGUUCCGUUAGUAGCUUGGGAGAUUCUAUGUAAAUGUAUGAAAUAUGGAGGACUGGGUGUAUUCUUGUCAGUGGACUCGAGCUUUGCUGCUGGUAUUAAAUUGCUAUGGUGUAUUCAUGUGAGUAAAGAGUUGCUUGGGUCAAAAGGUUCAUGGAACUUAUUUAAGAAGGAGAGCUGAUAUUUGGACUGUGAAUGAAAGAGUCGAUUACUUUUAGAUGUGGAAACAGAUUCUUAAGCUGAGGGAUAAAGCUUUAUCUAAAUGGGGGUCUUCUGAUGGUAUCAUUGCCUUGUUUCAGUCCUGGAGAAGCAAUGACUUCAGAGGCCGCUUUCUCAAGAUAGACUCUGACCAGAAGAUUUAAAGAUAAGGCAGCAGAAGCAGAAUACUAAAUGUUUUGUCAUGUGAUCUUUCAUGGAUUGAAGGACAAACUGGCGUAUUCCUUGGAAAGAUGAUGGCGAGAACUGCUAUUUCACUUUGAAAUUCCUCAACUCGCAUUCUCUGAUGAUGCUCAUAUUUUUUUCCUAAAGAAGUUAAGAUGGAUGCAGGUGGAAAAUGCAAAUGCCAAAUGCUGUUGAUUUGGGGUUCAAGAGUUGAGGAUGCUCUCUAUCUCUGAUGCUUGUAGAAUCAGAAACUAGUUAUUGUUUGUUUCUUAAUUGCAGUCUUUUUGUUUACUACAUGCAGUCGGCCUACGUGAUUUGUGUGAAAAGCCACUAAACUUUAAUGGAUUUAUUGUUUCUUCUGUUCCCCUCGCAGUAGGAGCUUCAUCAUCACUUCACUUUCCAUACCUGUGAAGUUGAGAGCAGUCGAGAUUGUGACAUGACGGCGCUUUGUUUACUCAUUCAGAACUGGGGAUGUUGGUCUGGCCCUUCAUUUGCAACGUAGUGAUGAUGGUGAAGAUGGAGUUAUUUCAGUUCUCGGGUCUGGGUAGCCAAUGGUAUCAACGAAGACUAUCAGGAGUUAUUUCCCGUUGUCACUAUCGAGAGUUAUUUCCCGGUGUCUCCCCUUCGAUGCUGCCAGCAUUAUUUUUCUUGAAGAUUAUAGCUAGCAAAGAAAAUCAUUGGAGAGACGUUUGUGCGUUAACGCUUUGUAAUUACCUCUCUCUCUCUCUAAGGAGUAAGAUUCACAUGCAUAUGUGGUUGUAGUUUUUUGUUGCAUCUUCGGAGUACCUCAUUGUGACGAAGACGUUAAUGACGUUGAUUGCCAAGCAUGGGCUGCGUAGAUUAUCGCUGCGCACCCGCGGUCUACUAUGCUUUUGUCGGCUUUGUUGGUGUUUUCUUCUUU